rnacentral:rRNA from 1 species
AAACUAACUAGGAUUCCNUCAGUAACGRCGAGUGAAGCGGGAACAGUUCAGAUUAGUAAUCUGGCGUCUUNGGCGUCCGAGUUGUAAUCUGUAGAAGAGUAUUCCGNGUCGGCCCNNGCCCAAGUCNGKUGGAAUUGGGCGCCAUGGAGGGUGAGAGCCCCGUUGGUGGCAUGGACUACAGAUGCUUUGCGKUGCGUUCUCAAAGAGUCGUGUUGUUUGGGAAGCAGCACUAACGGGUGGUAAAUUCCAUCUAAAGCUAAAUAUUAGCGAGAGACCGAUAGCGAACAAGUACGGUGAGGGAAAGAUGAAAAGCACUUUGGAAAGAGAGUUAAACAGUACGUGAAAUUGUUGAAAGGGAAACGCUUGAAAUCAGUCAUGCGUNUGGGGUUCAGCCGCAAGGUGUACUCUCCUUCWGGCAGGUCAGCGUCGGUUUCGGGGGUCGGAUAAUGGGUCGGGGAACGUGGCUCGGCUUCGGUCGAGUGUUACAGCCCCUUCCUGGAUACGGCUUCUGGGACCGAGGACCGCGGCGCGCCNUACGGGCAGGGGGUCCGCCCCCUUCCGCGCCAAGGAUGCUGGCGUAAUGGUUUUAAACGACCCGUCUUGAAACACGGACCAAGGAGUCUAACAUGCCCGCGAGUGUUUGGGUGUCAAACCCGGACGCGUAGCGAAAGCGAAUGCAGGUGGGAUCCGCGAGGUGCACCAUCGACCGACCCUGAGCUAUUGCGACGGGUUCGAGUAAGAGCGAGCGUGUUGGGACCCGAAAGAUGGUGAACUAUGCCUGAAUAGGGUGAAGCCAGAGGAAACUCUGGUGGAGGCUCGUAGCGGUUCUGACGUGCAAAUCGAUCGUCAAAUUUGGGUAUAGGGGCGAAAGACUAAUCGAACCAUGUAGUAGCUGGUUCUNNN